rnacentral:lncRNA from 1 species
UACUCAAGCUAAUAAAAUAUCUCAAUCUAAGCAUAGGAUACUCAACGAUCUUUGGUGAGCUCCAGGUUGCUUCAAGGCUUUGCCGAGUCUCUAGUAUAUUUUUGAGAUUAUAUAUUAGUUAAGGGGUAUGAUGGGGUCCUGUCCCGUUAUAAGCUAAGUGUCUAUCUUUUAGAGGCUUUGUAGAGCAAUGUCAAAGUGAAGCGUAAUUAUAUCUUGUUUUCUAGCAAUUAAGGCCUCAACGACCAAUCAAGUAUAUCUAUUUUGGGCCUAUCCAUGUUGGUAUUUUAUCAGGGUAUUUUACGUAUACUCAUCAAAGAUUUAUAACUUCAUUUUUUGCAUGUAUGAUAAGCAAGAGUUAUAUGUUGGUUCUCUCGGGCCGUUAGGGCAUCGGGUAUCUGUCCGUCUCAAUGGUACUUGAGGUGUGACAAAAGUGGUAUCAGAGCCGAUCAUCCUAGGGUGUCUACAAAGCCGUGUCUAGUAGAGCCUUACUUAUGAAUGUGUUGCGCGCCACAUUUAUAAUUAGGGGGUUUCUUAGACAUUUAGGUUAGGAAAUGUGAACUUGCUUUAUAUUCUAGAUCGUGCGAUUGAGUUAAGUCAAAUAGUAUAUUCCUAGUACUAUGAUCUAUGGCAUCAAGAUUACACCUACUACGGUUAAGGUCAAAGGUGGUCAAGGGCUAGUAUAUCCUGAGAGGCAAUCUUCAGAGGAACAUUUCAUGUUAUCAAAAUUUAGAGAAAGGAUUUUAGAGGUUUCUACGUUACUUAUACCUACAGUUGUAAUAGUACCACUUGUAUCAUCUUGCUUUUUAUGAGCGUGAUAUAGCAUGAUCACUAAAUGGUUACGUAGUCAUAGAGAUGGGCUGCAUCAUUUCCUAAUAUAGAAUUUUAAAAGAAUGUGAUUGGUUCUUGAGUCUGUAAUCUCAUCAAAUAUGACUCAUUCAGUGGUUAUAGGAUCUAAUCCUAUGAAGUACAUUCAGUAUUUUGUCAGUAAUAUACACAUAAUUUUUAGGAUUAUGUAUGUGUUAAAAAUAGAAGUGGUUGAGCUGAAUUUGUAUUAGUUAAAAUGUGGCAUCAUCAUAGUUCGGUAAGGCAUAUAACAAUUCUAUUUGCAAGAGAUACUCUUAGUGGGCCGAUAGAUCCCAUAUUUUUAUUUAUCAUCUUGUGUAUGUCAGGCUUGAAUUUUAAGAUAUGCAUAUAACAUGUUAAAUUAAAUGACUCAUUGGGUUGUUAAAAAAAACUUAGAGGAUAAGUAUUUUCAUUGUUUUGUAUUAAAGUAUAUGUGCCCCAUCAUUAUUAUGUGUUGGUCAUAUAGGAACACAUGAUUAAGGAUUUAGGUUGAAAAUAUUGAGGGGUUAGCCAUAAGUUAUGAUUUAUUAGGAUAUUCAGAGUACAUGAAGGCAUAGAUUAAUAACCAGCAAGAGAAUAAUUGGUUAUAUAUGAAAUAAAGGAGAAAAAUAUUUGAAUACUAUAGAAUAGUAAAGUUCUUGGGUAGUAUAAGAAGGCAACAUAUGUGAUUAUUAGAAGAAACAUUGGCAUAGAUUGUGCCCUUAUUACAAAGGAUGUUUAUUAAGUAUUGACAUAAGAAAGAAAUAUCGAUUCUUUAAUUUUAACCAGUUGCAAUGGCAUACUUUCUCUGAAAAACUUUUCAAAUUUUUUAUUAGACAGAAGUCAUUUUUUAUUGACAUUGAAUUUUGGUGUUUAGUAUUAAUACCUACAACAACAGAGAGUGCGACCGAAAGGUCACUUCUGUAGAAGAUAAAUUUCACCUUGUGUGGUUCCCUUAAAUACACUUGAAUCAUUUGUAUGAAAGAAAGAUGGUUUCUUACAUUAGAUUAUAAACUUAGAAAGGAGCGAGUUUUGAUGCUAGGAAUACUGUGUCAACACUAGAAGAUGGCAUGGGAACAAUUGCAUAUGCUUUAUGAUGAGUAAAGAAACACAAGUAGAACCACACCAUCAAUGAGUUAGAACUAGCAAUAGUGUCCUUGCACUUAAGAUUUGAUAAAAUCUUUCUAUAUGAUGUCUCUUUGUUUGCAAAGGCUCUAGUUGCUUAUAUGGUUGUACAUGUUACAUAUCUUAUGCCUUAUUAUGGAUUAUUUUCCCAUUUGUUACAUUAUUAUUUUUUUGGAUUACUUGCAUGUAGGUGUUAUUUUCUUCAUAAAGCUCUCGUUUUUGUUAUAUAUUUCAUAUGACCUUGUUCUAGUUCACCAUUACGUGCUACAAAUCACUUGUUCGUAUUUUAUUAGCAUCAUAUAUUGAUGUUUCAUAUGUUAUCGACAUUAUAAAUUACUAGUUCAUGAAUCACAUGUACCAUAAGUCACUUGUCUACAUAUUAUAUGCUUCAUAGACCAUAUAUAUGCCACAUGGCUCAUAGCCUACUUGUUUACUAUACCUGAGUAGUUUAUUUGUCCAUGUAGAUGGAUAGCAAAACAUGGUGCCCUUUCAAGAUGCGAAGAACAAUAGAUAGAGUAUUGCAUUGGGGGCAAUCGUGUAUUUUUACAAAAUACAUCUAUUACAGGCUUCAUGAGAUUUGGGCAGAAAGGAAGUUGUGCUCUUGAUGUGUUGGGCCUUAACAUACAGAGAACUGACCAAAAAACAUAAGGUAGAGCUACUUCAAGAGUUAUAUCUCGUACACCUAGUAAUUCACAGUCUAUGAAGUGUUAACAUUUAGUGGACCCAUAACUUAUCGUAGUAUUGAAGUCAUAGAGCACUUGUCACUAGAGAAAGUUCUAAUAUAUUAUAAAUUUCAAAGUUAAGAAUUCAGUCUCCGUUAGAGUGUUGUGUAGGAGUCAAAGAGAUUAAAAGGGCCACUUGAGAAUUGAAGAACUCUACGAAGUUCAAGAAUCCAUAUUGUUCCAAAAUUUUCAUGAGAUUUUGACAUCAUUUAUCUUCUUUUCCUGAUUAUAAGGUUCACAUGCAUCUAUUCACUUGUUAAUAUAAUCACCUAAUUACUUGUUAACAUCAGUCCAUUUGAUAUUUUAGCCAUGCGUCAUAAGUUCAAAUGUGUAGUUCCUACUUGGGAUUGCAUAUUCAAAAAAGUUCCACAUCAAGCUAGUGUAUAAGUAAAAAGAUAUAAAGGCAAGUCAUACCAUAUAGAAUUAUUUCACCUGAAAGUAUGUCGCAGGGAGGAACCUUACUUUUUAUUUUUGACUAUUUAAUAUGCUUCAGUUGUUUAAAUGUCGUGCAAGGCUUAUUCAUUUACAAAGAAAAUUUUGAAAACUUUUUUACAGAUAUGCUAGAGUCGACAUUAUUUUGAGCUACACCACCCAUUCGAGGACGAAUGAUCCAAAGGGGGAUGAUAUAACACUCUGUACAUUUCAACAUGUAUACGACUAAGUUAAUACUGAUGAAAGUAUUUAAACUCGAGAAGUGAGGUGGUUAUUAAGCUUAAAUUUUAGAGUUGAGUGUUAAGUUUAAAUUAAGAGAUUAGAAUUUGGAAAAUCAGAUAAAAUAAGUGAGGUGCUUGCUUGACUAAAUUAAGCAAGUAAGUGCAUCACCUACUUAGACUUUUUGACCAACUUAAUAAGAGUAAGUAGCUGCAUCACCUACCAUAGCUAAAUAGAUUUAAUAAGAAGAAGUAGUUGCAUCACCUAGUUUGACAUUUCAGCAGCUUAAAAAUGGCCAAGUAGGUGGAUCACCUACUUGGAAAUUUUUGGACAAAAAUGAAGAAGAUAGAGGCGAUGGAGUGCCAGCAAUUAUAGGGUCAUAUUUGGCUCAUUUAUGUCUUAAUUCUUGCAUAGAAAAAAAUGAAUUUAUCUCCAGCACUCUUUCUUUCCCUCAAUGAUUAUCACAGCCACCUCAAAAAUACUCCAUGGGUUCUCGAAGAAACCCUCUUAAUUUCUAUUCAAGGUAAGUAGAAACCUUAUGGUUUAGCUUGAUUGUCCCAUGAGAUUUCAUGUUUUUCAUGUUUAAAUAUGGUGCAGACUUUUCCCUAAGUUGUCUGCUCAUGUUUUCUUUGUUAUUAAGACAGUUUCUCUUCUUAUUUUGUUCAAGUGUAAAGGGUGAUUAAAACUCUUGAAGGAGUACAAGUUAAGAGAACAAUUUUCCAUAAUUUGAGGUAAGGUUACUGCCACAUUUUUUCUCACUAUAGAUAUCAGAUUAGGUGAGAUUUCUCUAAGUGUUUUACUACAAAUUCAUGAAAAAAUGAUCGGAAGCAGUGAGUCAAAGUUUUAUUGAUUAUUUUAGAAAGGUUUGGGGCUGUCUAUACGUGGUGAAGUUUGGAGAAGUAUCGAGUAGAUGAUUGGGUUUAUUAGUGCUAAAAGGCAUGAUUUUAUUCCUAUAUAUGGUAGUGAGAGUGUGGUAAAAGGCAUGGUUUUAUUCCUAUAUAUGGUAGUGAGAGUGUUGUUUGUAAGUAUGAGGCUGUUGGGUGUUGAAACACCAUUUAUGAAUAGUAGAGCUUUAUGUCCGCUAAGUGUUCGACNNNNNNNNNNNNNNNNNNNNNNNNNNNNNNNNNNNNNNNNNNNNNNNNNNNNNNNNNNNNNNNNNNNNNNNNNNNNNNNNNNNNNNNNNNNNNNNNNNNNNNNNNNNNNNNNNNNNNNNNNNNNNNNNNNNNNNNNNNNNNNNNNNNNNNNNNNNNNNNNNNNNNNNNNNNNNNNNNNNNNNNNNNNNNNNNNNNNNNNNNNNNNNNNNNNNNNNNNNNNNNNNNNNNNNNNNNNNNNNNNNNNNNNNNNNNNNNNNNNNNNNNNNNNNNNNNNNNNNNNNNNNNNNNNNNNNNNNNNNNNNNNNNNNNNNNNNNNNNNNNNNNNNNNNNNNNNNNNNNNNNNNNNNNNNNNNNNNNNNNNNNNNNNNNNUGAGUUAUCCACCAAGUCAAAUGAAGUUCAUUGAGUUAUCCACCAAGUCAAAUGAAGUUCAUUGAGUUAUCCACCAAGUCAAAUGAAGUUCAUUGAGUUAUCCACCAAGUCAAAUGAAGUUCAUUGAGUUAUCCACCAAGUCAAAUGAAGUUCAUUGAGUUAUCCACCAAGUCAAAUGAAGUUCAUUGAGUUAUCCACCAAGUCAAAUGAAGUUCAUUGAGUUAUCCACCAAGUCAAAUGAAGUUCAUUGAGUUAUCCACCAAGUCAAAUGAAGUUCAUUGAGUCAAUUAGAUCCUAUAUAAUACAUGUUACAUGUUUUUAUAUGUCAGAUGCAUAUUAUGUCCAUUGUUCAUUUUAUGUCCCCUUACGUGGAAUGUACAACCCUUAUUUGGGUUCUGUCAUGGGCUUCAUUAGUUUAGAUGUUUAUGCACUCUUUCAUUUGAUAUCGUAUAAUAAGUGUUUAGCUAUCAUAUCAUCUUAUAUAGUCCCUACCUCUACAUUUGAGAAGUUACAGUCUCUACUAAGUGCUAAGUUAUCGUAUUCCCCAUGCGAAAUGUCCAAACGUGCUUUAAAUGAAGCAUCUUGUAAGAAGAAUUACUUUCUCAACUUCUAUACAUCUUAAUGAAUCAUUUACUACUUGUAAGGACUAUGCCACACACCUUCGUGGAUCACCUUUAUAUGCUCUUUAUGCCCAAAUGAAGUUCACGAGUCAUAUAAGUUCCUAAGUAGCACGACAAAGUUACAUUUUCUUCCUAUAUUAUUGUUUUCUGCCUCAAUUAAUUUGUCCACAUCUUAGUAUAUAAUCCUAAAUCUCAAAAGAGUCAUGAACAUCAAAAGAACAAUCUCAAAGAUUAAAAAGACAAGGUAAAGUGAAUCUAUAUAAUUAUGGGUGGCAACUUAGGAGUUGAAAUACCUAGCAUGGGCCGAUGCUAAUUCUUGUGCUUAAGGGUGGCAGAUCAGGGGUGGUAAUACCUAGCAUGGGCUGAUCCCAAUCUAUAUAAUUAUGGGUUGCAGCUCAAGGGUUAAAAUAUGUAGCAUGGGCCAACCAAUCCCAAUCUAUAUUAUUUUGGGUGGCAGCCCAGGGGCUAAAAGCCUAGCAUUAGUCGAUCCCAAUUUGUAUAUUUAUGAGGAGCGCAUCCCAGGGGUUAAAAUGCCUAGCAUGGGUCAUCCUCUCCUACCACUGAUCAGCUGGUCAUUGUGUCACAUGCUACAAAGUCUAUAAAGAAAAGAUGAGUGAACUUAAAGUCAAGAAUGUAAUGUACAUGAUUCCUCAAGUAUAGCCAAAGAAUGUAAUGUACAUUAUUUCACAAGUAUAAGCAAAGGUGAAUGUGAUGUACAUGAUUCCUCAAGUAUAAGCAGAGAAUGUAAGGUAUGUGAUUCAACAAGCAUUACCAAAGGUUGUCUCUUAUCCUUAUCUAUACAGAAUAAUUGUGCAUUUGUACAUGAUUUCAGUUGAGCUCUUGUUUUACAUAUGGUUACUUUAUGCCUUAUAUAUUCAGUACAUUCUUUUGUACUGACGUCCUUUCUGGGGGAUGUUGUUUUCAUGCCACAGGUACAGGUACUCAAGCUAAUAAAAUAUCUCUAUAUAAGCAUAGGAUAUUCAACGACCUUUGGUGAGCUCCAGGUUGCUUCAAGGCUUUGCCGAGUCUCUAGUAUAUUUUUGAGAUUAUAUAUUAGUUAAGGGGUAUGAUGGGGUCCUGUCCCGUUAUAAGCUAACUGUCUAUCUUUUAGAGGAUUUGUAGACCAAUGUCAAAGUGAAGCGUGGUUAUAUCUUAUUUUCUAGUAAUUAAGGCAUCAAUGACCAAUCAAGUAUAUUUAUUUUGGGCCUAUCUAUGUUGGUAUUUUAUCAGGGUAUUUUACCUGUACUCAUCAAAGAUUUAUAACUUCAUUUGUUGCAUGUAUGAUAAGCAAGAGUUAUAUGUUGGUUCUCUCGGGCCUUUAGGGCAUCCGGUGCUUGUCCAUCUCAAUGGGACUUGGGGUGUGACAUCCCGUAAACUAUGUGCCAACAUAUGAUUGUCUAUAAAUAUAUUAGCUAGUGGAUCUGCUAAGCUAGAAGUUCAUGGUCUUACCUUGGCAAGUAGGACACCCCUUUUCGUUGUGGGAGACAGGAUUCCAUGUUAACAGCUCACAUGGUCUUACAUGUCGGUUAAAGGUAAUUCUCCCACAUUAAUGAAUCAAGGUUACUUCUAAGUAUCUCACAUGAGUUUUAAGACGAUUUCUACUUGCAUUGACCAUGUUUUAUGACUAUAUUUUAUAACUCUUUCAUAUCAUGUUUUAAUUUGGUUAUUGAUACUACGAAAAUGUCCCUUUAUCAUGAUGUUCAUGCUUCAUGCAUGGCUAUCUUACUUGGUACAUAUUUGUACUAACGCAUACUCUUGCCUAAAAUUUCCCCAAAUGUAGGGACUGACCUUACAGAUUCGCACUUCUGUAGCUAGGGAUCUCAUAUAGAAACUUGAAGAUUGGUGAGUCCUUAUGUUUCGAGAACCGAGUUUGGUUUCCCUUUUGUCUUUACUUUCAGUUUUGGAACAUGAUGUACGGGCUACGCCCCGAUCAUUUCUUAUGUACUAGAUGGCUUUGAGACAAUGUUUAGACUUCCGUUUUUCUCUAUAAAACUUUUAUAUGUUGAAA